rnacentral:rRNA from 1 species
UUCCGUAGGUGAACCUGCGGAAGGAUCAUUACCUAGAGUUUGUAGACUUCGGUCUGCUACCUCUUACCCAUGUCUUUUGAGUACCUUCGUUUCCUCGGCGGGUCCGCCCGCCGAUUGGACAACAUUCAAACCCUUUGCAGUUGCAAUCAGCGUCUGAAAAAACAUAAUAGUUACAACUUUCAACAACGGAUCUCUUGGUUCUGGCAUCGAUGAAGAACGCAGCGAAAUGCGAUAAGUAGUGUGAAUUGCAGAAUUCAGUGAAUCAUCGAAUCUUUGAACGCACAUUGCGCCCCUUGGUAUUCCAUGGGGCAUGCCUGUUCGAGCGUCAUUUGUACCUUCAAGCUCUGCUUGGUGUUGGGUGUUUGUCUCGCCUCUGCGUGUAGACUCGCCUUAAAACAAUUGGCAGCCGGCGUAUUGAUUUCGGAGCGCAGUACAUCUCGCGCUUUGCACUCAUAACGACGACGUCCAAAAGUACAUUUUUGCACUCUUGACCUCGGAUCAGGUAGGGAUACCCGCUGAACUUAAGCA